ACGUCACGCGCACAAGUCUGUCAAUUGUAUCGACUGUACUUUAACUUUAGGUAUAGCUUUACAUUUCUAAUCUACCUUAUUGUAAUAUAGGCAGUCGCAAUCGCUGGUCGCUGCUUUCUAAUUGGCUGAAGCAAAAUCGCAAUCGCAAUUGACCGCGAAUUGCUAGUGUGAUGCAAGCAUAACGUCAAUCGUUGCUUUUCGCACGUGUAAAGAUGACAUUUGACAUUUCAAUGUGAAAUGUAAAUAUCAUAUUACAACGGAAUUUGUGUUUAUUUUCGUUUUGUCCUGUUCAGUUUUGUUAAGAAUGCGUUAAGAAUUUAUAUGCCGUACCGUAUACAAUGCGAAUACAAAUUUUUAAAAACUACGUGUAUUAUUUGAAAACAAGUGGUACUUGCGUUGUGAUACUGGGAAGUUGCUGGUUCCUAUAUCAACUGCGGCAGAUAUCACAGAUCGUUCGGUCCGCUGUUAAUACAAAUGUUCUAAAUUUAGAACAAACACAUGCGCAAUAUAUUUAUAUCGAUGAUCCUCGAUUUAAAGAUGUGUUUAUGUCCAAAGAAGAUGAGGACUUACAUAGAUCUGCAUUGGAGAAGACACAGAAUUUUAGUGAUAUAUUCAUAAACCGAUGGAAGAUAAAAAAUCAUAAAAUGGCAUAUAAAUUAUUGUAUAUGGCACAACAUGGAGAUAAAACUGAACGAUUCAAAGCUGUGACCGCUCUCAGUUCUUUAUCAAAUUUGAAAGAUUGGCAAUAUCGUCAUUUGGCACAGAUGUUGGAUGCUAAAACAGCAGUAGCCCUUGCAAGAAUGUCAAAUGUUAAUCUACAAUUUUUUCUGCAACCACCAUAUUAUCAUAUACAAUAUAACUUACAUGAUGUCUUAGAACAAGUACAUUCAUUGCUAUUACAUUUGAAUACUUUAUGUGAUAAUGCACAUCUCUGUCUUGCACAAUUCCUUAGUAAAAAGUUCAAAGACUCACAUCGAUAUCUUGUAGAGUGGUUUGAUCAUGAUUUGACAAGUAUAGGCCUUUCGACGGAAACAACAAUUGUCUGGGAUAAUGAAUUGCUUAAAAGUUGUAUUGAAGCAAUCUGUCACCAUUCAUCUGUGGAACAGUAUAGUGAACAUUUGAUCAAUGCCGGAGCUUUACCAAUAUUAAUAGCAAUACAAAAACUUUGCGGCGAUGAUAUUGAAAUUUGCAUAUUACUCGCGAAAAUAUUAUCUAAUAUAUCUCUUCAUUCCGAGUACUUAAACAAUAUCUAUGAAUCUGGAUGGGUCGGCAUAUUGGCACAUUGGUCCCGCAGCGAUGAUAUUCGUCUGUCAGCACAAGCGAUCAGUGCAUUAGCAAAUUUGGAUACAGACGGAAACGAAGGAGCAAAAUACUCGCAGCGUGUUUAUCUUCUUCAUCCCCUAUACAGAGUUCAUGCAGCCACAAAGAUGGAUGUUGUGUUUUUACAUGGUUUACUAGGAGGAAUCUUUGUUACUUGGAGACAACGCGAUGUAGAUACUUCUGCAUUCCAAGCUACAGAUCCCAAUACAUUAAAUCAGACUAUGGAUUAUUUAUCUACUAUGAUCGACGAUGAUCGCCCUCAGGAAUUCUUUAAAGAUUUAGCCCGUGAUCUGUAUUUACGUGAAUGGAAAAAAAUAGGCCAAGAUUUUGAAGUGGUAUUGGAUGAUUGUCCACAAAACACAAAUGCUUGCGCAUGCGGACCUUAUUUUUGCAAAGGAGAUAAUGUCUGCAUAAAGAAUGAAUCUGAUUGUACAUCUAAAUCAUUGUGUUGGCCCAAAGACUGGUUACCCAUGGACAUACCGUCCUUACGACUCAUAGGUAUUAAUUAUGAUACAAGUUUAUCUAUGUGGACUCCUUUCUGCCCAAUACAAAAUAAGAAGAACACUAUUAAAGAGAGGAGCGAAGAAUUCAUUACCAAAUUAACAAUGGCAAAUGUAGGACAACGGCCACUUAUAUGGGUCGGUCAUUCAAUGGGUGGAUUAUUAGUUAAAAAGAUGCUUGUAGAAGAGUGGAAAACUGGAGAUAAGCACGGUAUUUGCAAAAAUACCAAAGCUAUCUUAUUUUAUGGUACUCCUCAUCGAGGUUCUCAUGUAGCAGCUCUGAAGCAAAUGACGCAAAUGUUAGUAUGGCCAACAGUCGAGGUUCAAGAACUGCGCGAAGAAUCGCCACAAUUGCUAAAAUUGCAUGAGGAAUUCCUAGAAAUGUUGAAGGAAUAUCACAUAGAAAUUGUGAGUUUUGCCGAGGCCAAACCUACGCUUGUAACUACGCUAAAGUUCCCCUUCCAAUUCGUGAGCUCUAAUUCGGCAGAUCCUGGCAUAGGGGAAUUCUUCGAGAUUCCACAGGAUCAUUUAUCAAUAUGCAAACCAGCCAGUAGGCAAUCAUUCUUGUACCAAAAACUUCUGAGUGUGCUCAAACGCCAUAUUAAUCAUAAGGAAGAAACGACUAUCUCGUCAAUUAGGGACUCAUUUUCGCUGUUGGAUAAAUUAUUUUAGCUCGCAGAAUUGCAAGUGUUUUCCUAGCGAUAAAAAUGCUAUCAACUGCAUAGCGCCACGUUAUUCAUUAAUCGCGGGAAAUCUUGACGUUUUCAGCGGUCGAUUUUCGACGCUCGUUUCCGUGUAAUUGUAGUCCAAGAUACUGCAAGGAUACGACAGCAGUUAUCCUAACCGAGUACAAUGCAUCAGAACAGAAUGCAUUAUCGUAGCAAGGUGAAAGGCGAAGUAUCGUGCAUUUCGCCGCAGUAUCGUGCAUUUCGCCGCAGUAUCGUGCAUUUAAACAAGUCGCGCAGGCAUAAUUUAUUAGCGGGAUUUGCGCAAUAUAAAUCGGAUAAUAAUCUCCGGGAAUGAAUAUAACUGUGGUGCACGAGUCGGAGGAGGCAGCUCUUGGAUACGCCUAGAUGAGAUAGAGAGCAAUGAGGAAUACCGAAACGAGUACCUGAUGUUAUGUGCGCUAUAAUAAAGCCACGUGAGAUACACAUCAAUUUGCGGCGUGUGAGAGAAAGGAAAAUGAGACCUUUGCGCAGCGAUUGAGAUAAAAUCACUCUCUCUUUCUCUUUGUCCAUCUGUUACUGAGCUGAAAUUCUACAAGCAGCCUCGGGAUAUGCAAUUUAAUCCUAAAGUCUCUUUGUUGUCCACGCGGUAAUGUUCGCCGUUAUGUCGUACUUGUAUUUCAGUGUCGUAACUAGAAUAGUUCCGUAGGCGUGAACGGCGAUCAGAUCGACGACGAGACCUCGAAAACUCAACGCGAAUAUAAAUUAAGGCGGGGUUAUAUGCUUCUCUCCCGACUAAAACACCUCGCGAGAUGUUUAUCUCGCGAGGUGUUUCAACUUGCUCAACCGCAUGUCGCCUUAUUUCUUCGA